GCUGCUCUGUGGUGAGUUGGGCUCCAUAGAGUUGCACUGGGUGCCUCUCCCUUGUGUUGUUGUGCUGCUGUGGGACUGGAGCAAAGACUGACCUGACAGCUGGCCUCACAGAAAUGGACAAAUGAGUUUGCCUCCCCCUGCUGUCAGCUGCAGUCCAACGUUUUGCUUCGGAGCAUCUCAGAAGGAGAGGUUGAGCACUGCGCAGCCAGGAGCAGGAACAGAGCUUUGGGCAGCCCAGAGCGCAGCGUGAAGGACCCAACAGAACCCAACUCUGUGCUGAGGUAUCCCAGACCUCGUUGCCAACCUCUGUGGAUGAUGAGG